rnacentral:rRNA from 1 species
UACGGAGGGUGCGAACGUUAAUCGGAAUCACUGGGCGUAAAGCGCGCGUAGGCGGUCUGUUAAGUGGGAUGUGAAAUCCCCGGGCUUAACCUGGGAAUUGCAUUUCAAACUGGCCGACUAGAGUACGGUAGAGGGAGGUAGAAUUUCCUGUGUAGCGGUGAAAUGCGCAGAUAUCAGGAAGAACACCCGUGGCGAAGGCGGCUCUCUGGGACGGUACUGACGCUGAGACGCGAAAGCGUGGGGAGCGAACAGG